AAGUAUCGAUGAUAAUCAUAUAGUAACAUCAAAAAAGAAUAAAAAAAGUAAUUCAAAGGGGUUAUUAAGGAAAACUAAGGCAAAUUUAUACAAAAGGAGGUCACAACCAAAAGCUUACCCAAUAAUCAUUCAGUAUUAAAAAUAAUAAAUGAAACUGUUUAUUGGUAUUCAGAACAGUAAGCGAUCCUAAGGUAAAUCUUUUAAAAAUAACUUCCUGAAGUAAAACAUUUUAUUAAGGAAAGGAAAGGAAAUCAACCGAGACUCCGAAAGUAAUGGUGAGUGAAAUCGGACUAGCCUAUUUUGUUUUAUGAAUUGAAGGGAUUUUUAUUAAAAAUCCAGGAAUAUUAACUAUUAUAUUCUCUUAUUUUUUAAUAAAAAAUAUUAGAAAAAUAAUAAUAAUAUUUCACCAUAGAAGGUAAAUCGAGUCCUGUAGAAAUAUAAAACAAAAAUUAAAAUUUAGAAAUUUAAAUAAUAAUUAAGUAAAUAAUUAUUUUAUUAUUAUAUAAUAAAUUUAAAAAUUACAUUUAAAUAUUAAUUAAAACUAAAACUCAUUUAUAAAAAAAAGUCUUUUUUAUUUUAUAUAGAAUAAAAAAAUUAUAAAUAAGUAUUCUAGAUUGGAGUACGAUGAGAGAUAACUUGUCGGAAUAAAGGGGAACCAUCCUCUAAGGCUAAGUAUUAUAAAUUUAGCGAUAGUGAAUAAGUACUGUAAAGGAAAAGUUUGAAAAGCAUGUAGUAUACAAAUAUUUGAUUAUUAAAAUAAAAUUUAUUUUAAUAAUUAAUGCGGUGAAAUAGACCAUGAAUUAGUAACUCUAUAAGCAGUCGAAAUUCUAUUAUGAAUAUAAAAUAUUUAAGAAUAACGGCGUACCUUUUGCAUAAUGGGUCAGCAAGUUAAUAGGAGUAGCAAGGUUAAAAGCCCUAGCGAAAGCGACUGGACUAUAAAUUAUUGUUUUUAUUUAAUAUAAAAAUAUAAUAAUAAUUAUAAUAAUAUACAUAGUGAUGGAUAAGUUACUUCUAUUAGACCCGAAGCCAGGUGAUCUUACCAAGACCAGAUUAUAAUGGAUCGAACGGUUGAAUGUUGCAUUAUUCUCCGAUGAGUUUUGGUAAGCGGUGAAAUGCCAAUCUGACCUGGUGCUAGCUGGUUUUCUACCGAAACAUAUUUAAGUAUGAUGUCUACAAUAAUAUAAAAACAUAAAUUUAUGGAGGUACAGCAAGGCAAUUCCCAACAAAUUUAAGGUAAAACAAUAAAUUUUCUUGUUUUUUGUUUUAUAUUUUUAUAAUAAUAAAAAUUCUAUUUAUAAGAUAAAAUAAUUAAUUAAAUUAACUUUAAGUAGCCUUAUCUGCGUUCAGGUUGCGGGGAUCUAGACAAUCUUACCUUUGGAAGCGAAUCUCGGAAUUACAUAAAUUGAUGGUAGAUAUUCAGACUGCUCAUGCUAAGUUGGGCAGUCAAGACGGAAACAGCCGAGAACACUGAUCAAGGUCCCAAAUGAUUGUUAAGUGAAAUUAAGGACGUAGCAAUAUCGAAUACAGCUGUGAAGUGAGCCUGGCAGUCGCUACUUAUAAUGAUCGUAUGUAACAACGCAUCAGCAGUCUAGAUAGUAGCGCCGAAAAUUUAACGGGUCUUAAACAAUCAACCGAUAUCGUGUUGGUUAAUAAUAAUAAAUUUGUUAUUAAUCUAGGUAGUAGAACAUUCAGUAAAACUUUAAAUCAAAUAGUGUUUCAUUAUUUUGUAGGAUACUGAAGAGAGAAUGCUGACAUGAGUAACGUAAAAAGAAGUUAUAAUACUUCUCGCCGAAUACGAAAGGGUUGCAAAUAGGAAAGGUUAAUCCGUUUUGUUUUAAUGCGGCCUCUAAGGGAUGUAGCUAAAGCUACUACUGAUGAGUCUAUAAUAGAAAGUCUAAUAUUUAAAAAAUAGACCAGGAAAUUAAUAUUAUAUUACUACCGUACCCUAAACCGACACAGGUUCGUAGGUAGAGAAUACUAAGGCGUAGAGCUAAAAGUUGUUAAGGAACUCGGCAAGAUCACCUCCUAAGUUUGACGACAAGAGGGACCGUUAUAAGCUAGUUUAUUUAUAUUCUUAUUUUUUUAUUAAUUUAAAUUAAUAUUGCUAAUACAUAAAAAAAUCACUUAUAACGGUGACACAAAAUCGGAGGCCACGACUGUUUACUAAAAACACAACACAGUGCAAUCAUUAAUAUGAUAGUAUACUGUGUGAAAUUUGCCCGAUGCCAUUAAUAUAAGAGCGAUCAUGGUUUUCUGUGAUUAAUCGAAAAUCUGGUUAAUAGCGGUCUUAACUAUGAGGAUCCUAAGGUAGCAAAAUAAAUUGGCCUUUAAAUGAGGUCCGGUAUCAAUAAUGUAACGAUGGUCUCACUGUCUCUACAACUUGCUCAGUGAAAUUGAAUUACGCGUGCAGAUGCGCGUUGCCUUCAGGGGGACGGGAAGACCCUAUGCAGCUUUACUGUAGUUAGUUAUCAUAUGAAUCUAGAACAAUCAAAAUUAAUAGUGAAUAGGGAAGUCGAUAGACAAAUAGUGGAAACCUUAAAAUUCUGAUUGGGUUUAUGUUUACCUUAAAUUUAAUAAAAAAAGGGAGAGUUUACUAAUUGGCAGUUUGACUGGGGCGGUCGUCUUUAAUAGAGUAGCAAAGUACAUCCAAAUAUUUCAUUUAAAACUAAAAAUUUAUUGUUUUAUAAAUUUUAUCACAAAAAACUUUAUUUUAUUUUAGUAUAAUUUAAAGUAAUAAUUAAUUUAAUUAAUUAACAUUCUAAAUUUUUCUUUCUAAUCAUUAAUUUUAUAAGGUAUAGCUAGAAAUUGAAUGGAGAUCAAUCAACCAGUGAUGGGUUGCGCAGAGUUCAAUGGCGAUAAGCAUGCUUAACUGAAAGACUUAAAAGUCGCACAGAUACGUAAGUAGGGCAUAGUGACCCCUCGCUAUAAUAUGGGAUAGACGGGGAUCAAUUAAUAAAAGUUACGCUAGGGAUAACAGGCUGAUCGCGGACGAGAGUACACAUUGUCUCCGCGGUUUGGCACCUCGAUGUCGACUCAUCCUAUCCUCCGGGGGUAGAAGCUUGGAAGGGUUCGGCUGUUCGCCGAUUAAAAGGGUACGUGAGUUGGGUUUAAUACGACGUGAGUCAGUAUGGUCCCUAUCUUCUGGAGGAAUAAUAGUAAAAAGGGGCAGACCUUCUAGUACGAAAGGAUCAAUAGGCUGUGUUUCUCUAGUGUACCAAUUGUUUGUAAUUUUUUUUAUUAAAAAAAUAUGAAUGCAUAGUUGGGUAGCCACAAACAUAAUAGAUAAGUGCUGAAUGUCUAUAAAGCAAGAAUCUAACCCCUAGAUACUAAUAUGGCUAAUAUUAUUAAUUAUUGUUAUGUUAGGGCGGCUUAUUAUUAAUAAAUAAGCAGCUCCAACAAAAUAAGUAACAUUUAA
rnacentral:rRNA from 1 species